rnacentral:rRNA from 1 species
AGGAAGGUGGGGAUGACGUCAAGUCAUCAUGGCCCUUACGGCCAGGGCUACACACGUGCUACAAUGGCGCGUACAGAGGGCUGCAAGCUAGCGAUAGUGAGCGAAUCCCAAAAAGCGCGUCGUAGUCCGGAUCGGAGUCUGCAACUCGACUCCGUGAAGUCGGAAUCGCUAGUAAUCGCAAAUCAGAAUGUUGCGGUGAAUACGUUCCCGGGCCUUGUACACACCGCCCGUCACACCAUGGGAGUGGGUUGCACCAGAAGUAGAUAGCUUAACCUUCGGGAGGGCGUUUACCACGGUGUGAUUCAUGACUGGGGUGAAGUCGUAACA